AUGCUUAUUGAGCACUUACUGGGUGCUGCGCCCUGUGCAUUACAGGCAUCAUUUCAUUUAAUCCUCCGCCGCCUCCUACGAAUGUUUACAGUUUACAUAUAUCAAAACCAUGACUCAGAAAGGGUAAGGAAGCAGGCCACGGCCGCACAGCCGGGGAGAGACAGAGCUGAAUGUCGGCUGCACGCCGCAGCUCCAGAGCCCCGGCUCCAGCCUCUACCACCUGCUGCCUGGGUGGCUGGCCCAGGGCGGCCGGUCCUGGGAGUCGAAAGCUCCUUCCCUGGGGGUCGAAAGCUCCUUCCCUGGGGGUGUCCAGCAGAUGGGGCCGGGGCAGGGUGGGGACUGUGCUCCCCAGAGUCCCUGCUCGGCCUCCUUUCCCACCCACCGAGCUCCCAAAGGACCCAUGUCCUCCUCCCCACCUCCCUCCCAGCAUCCGGCACAGCCUGGCACAGAGACGAUGCUCCUGGGUGUUCGCGAACAGAGGGGAGGGAGGGAGGAAGUGUCGGGGGGCCCACAAAUCUUGUUAUUUCUCUUUGUACUGAACCACUAUGGCGGUCCUGUCACCGUGGGAUAAGGUGCAGACUCCUUACCCCUAGCACAAAGUCCCAAGGACCCGGCACCCCUCCUCCCUCACCCCCGCCCCAGCCUCUACUCUCCAGGCUGAGGCCUUCUGGCUCUCGGCAGCCCUCGGCCCUGUGUCCCUCACCUCCAGGCUUUGCUCAUCUCGCCGGCCUGGAGCCCUCUUCCUUUCCACCCUGGCUAACUAGUCCUCCAAGACUCAGCCAAGCACCCCAUGCACCAGGCUGCCCCAUCUGCCCCACUGGGGUCCGGGGUUCCCCUGCCCUGAGUGCUUCUGGGAGCAGGGCGCUGGGGCCUCGUGGGCCUUUCUCUGGGACUGGCCCCAAAUUCAGAAUCUAUCUCUGUGGAGGAAAGACAUGCAUCCUCUUCCCUCCGCUGGAGAUAGGACACCACCUUUUCAGACUGGUUUUCUCUUGUUCCUCUUCUGACUGA
rnacentral:lncRNA from 1 species